UUCCUUGUCGGGUAAGUUCCGACCCGCACGAAAGGCGCAACGAUCUGGGCACUGUCUCAACGAGAGACUCGGUGAAAUUAUAGUACCUGUGAAGAUGCAGGUUACCCGCGACAGGACGGAAAGACCCCGUGGAGCUUUACUGCAGCCUGAUAUUGAAUGUUGGUACAGCUUGUACAGGAUAGGUAGGAGCCUUGGAAACCGG
rnacentral:rRNA from 1 species